GUUCCGACUCGGUUUGUGUGAACAGAAGGAGAAGCAAAGAUCUGAUCAGUGUAAGUUGAUCAUUCUCCAUUUGAUGAGACCUGAAACUUUUUCACCUCACCCCGCAUGAGGACAUAAAAUGGAAGUCAUGUAACACUGUCGUUUGAAAAAUGGAUUUUCUGUGUCAUUCAUGUUU